AAUAGAUACCCGGGUAGUCUACGCCGUAAACGAUGGAUGCUAGCUGUAUUCGGUAUCGACCCCGGAUGUAGCGAAGCUAACGCGUUAAGCAUCCCGCCUGUGGAGUACGGUCGCAAGACUAAAACAUAAAGGAAUUGACGGGGACCCGCACAAGCGGUGGAGCGUGUUGUUUAAUUCGAUGGUAAGCGAAGAACCUUACCCAGGUUUGACAUCCUUGGAAUUUCUGCGAAAGCAGAGAGUGCUUUAUUGAGCCAAGUGACAGGUGAUGCAUGGCCGUCGUCAGCUCGUGUCGUGAGAUGUUUGGUUAAGUCCAUUAACGAGCGCAACCCUUGUAGUUAGUUGAAUUUUUCUAGCUAGACUGCCCCGGUAACGGGGAGGAAGGAGGGGAUGAUGUCAGGUCAGUAUUUCCCUUACAUCUGGGGCUACAAACACGCUACAAUGGCCGGUACAAAGGGCAGCCAACCCGCGAGGGGGAGCAAAUCCCAUCAAAGCCGGUCUCAGUUCGGAUAGCAGGCUGAAACUCGCCUGCUUGAAG
rnacentral:rRNA from 1 species